rnacentral:tRNA from 1 species
GUCCUCGUGCGUGAAACUGGAUAUCACACAGGUCUACGAAACCUGAGUUCCCGGUUCAACUCCGGGCGGGGACACCA